AACGAACGCUGGCGGCAGGCUUAACACAUGCAAGUCGAACGCAUCGCAAGAUGAGUGGCAGACGGGUGAGUAACGCGUGGGAACAUACCCUUUUCUACGGAAUAGCUCUGGGAAAUUGGAAUUAAUACCGUAUACGCCCUACGGGGGAAAGAUUUAUCGGGGAAGGAUUGGCCCGCGUUGGAUUAGCUAGUUGGUGGGGUAAAGGCCUACCAAGGCGACGAUCAAUAGCUGGUCUGAGAGGAUGAUCAGCCACAUUGGGACUGAGACACGGCCCAAACUCCUACGGGAGGCAGCAGUGGGGAAUAUUGGACAAUGGGCGCAAGCCUGAUCCAGCCAUGCCGCGUGAGUGAUGAAGACCUUAGGGUUGUAAAGCUCUUUCACCGAUGAAGAUAAUGACGGUAGUCGGAGAAGAAGCCCCGGCUAACUUCGUGCCAGCCGCCGCGGUAA
rnacentral:rRNA from 1 species